rnacentral:rRNA from 1 species
AUGUUCCUCGGGCUCAAUUAUCCAAUCAUCCAACCAAUCAUCGAUCAUAUCACCGGCGAUGAUUACCGUGUUAUGCAACCUCCAUUCGCCAGGGGGGACUGUGUUUACACAUCAUACCAUGGGUUUCAUGAAUCACCAUAUCCAGAGAUUCGUCGACACAGCUUGUUGCCAGAUAAUCUUCAGUGUGUGAAAGGCAUCAAGCUUCCAUGCGAUGGAUGGCUUUUGCAAACCCGACAUGCGGCGAUGUGGUUCAUGCCAACAGCAAAUAUGCACAACUUGAUUCGUACUGAUAUAAUUAACCCAUGCAAGUCGAAGAAGGAUUGGCCGGUGCUGCCGGCUGGCGUCAAGUUCGAUCCCACGGAUCAGGAGCUGAUCGAGCACCUUGAGGCCAAAGUGAGUGCUGACAGCGCGAGAUCUCACCCUCUCAUCGAUUUGUUCAAACCAACCAUCGACAGCGAGCACGGCAUAUGCUACACCCAUCCUGAGAAACUUCUAGGUAUCACACUGAGUGGCCUAAGCAAGCAUUCCUUCCAACACAAUUCCAGGGCGUUCAAAAGGGGCACGUGGACGCGUCGCAAGAUACAGUCGGAGUGCGGCAUGCACGCGAUGUGGCCCAACACCGGCAAUACCUUGCCGGUGAUGGUCAACGGCCGGCAGACGGGCAGCAAAAAGGUUCUGGUGCUGCACACCAACAAGAACUUCGACCAGCAGAGGACCAACUGGGUGAUGCACCAGUACCACCUCGGGGACCUGGAGCAAGAGAAGGAGCGGGAGCUGGUCCUCUGCAAGAUUUUCUACCAGACGAACACUAGGGCCAGGAGUAAAAAGAUUAUAAGUUAG